GUUAUAUUAGGUUGGUGCAAAAGUAAUUAUGGUUUUUGCCAUUGAAAGUAAUAGCAAAGACUGCAAAGACUUUUGCACCAACCUAAUA
rnacentral:miRNA from 1 species